AUGCACGCUGGCGGCGUGCCUAAUACCUGCAAGUCGAGCGCACAGAUAAGGAGCUUGCUCCUUUGACGUUAGCGGCGGACGGGUGAGUAACACGUGGGUAACCUACCUAUAAGACUGGGAUAACUUCGGGAAACCGGAGCUAAUACCGGAUAACAUUUGGAACCGCAUGGUUCUAAAGUGAAAGAUGGUUUUGCUAUCACUUAUAGAUGGACCCGCGCCGUAUUAGCUAGUUGGUAAGGUAACGGCUUACCAAGGCAACGAUACGUAGCCGACCUGAGAGGGUGAUCGGCCACACUGGAACUGAGACACGGUCCAGACUCCUACGGGAGGCAGCAGUAGGGAAUCUUCCGCAAUGGGCGAAAGCCUGACGGAGCAACGCCGCGUGAGUGAUGAAGGGUUUCGGCUCGUAAAACUCUGUUAUUAGGGAAGAACAAAUGUGUAAGUAACUGUGCACGUCUUGACGGUACCUAAUCAGAAAGCCACGGCUAACUACGUG
rnacentral:rRNA from 1 species